UGGGGCGGAGGGUUAGUUUUAAGAGCAAGGGGCCUUUACUAAAAUGGCGAAGGCCUUCCGUCGGCGUUGUUUUAAAAUGGGAAGCCUCGACCCAGUAUUGAGACAGCUGUUCGAAGGCGGCGUUGUGUGCAAUUCGGAUUAAUGAAGGGGAAGGGUUUUGUGUGGAAAAACACCUUGGAGUGUGACAUUUCUGCGAGAAUGCUUAAAUACCGAUUUCCCGCAGGAACAAUGGCGCUGUCUUCAGUGGCACAGCGGAGCAGUUCUGUGAAGAUGCAAAGAUACACGAAAAAAAUUCCAGAACAUCUGGGAGAAUAUUUAAUGGAAAAUCGCUUGGUUAAAACCUGACACUUAACAGGUAUGUGUUGUUUUAGUACUUUAUGAUUGAGCAUAGCAUUUAAUCCACACCUAGACUAAACCGAAUUUUUUUUGUCAUUGAACAGCAUUCUGAGUGUGGACGAGUAGCCAGUGAAGAUAAUGAAUGUCGGAUGUCACUGACUAGCAGCUUCAUUUUGAAGUAGUGAGGGUCGCUGUCUGCCCAUUGAUAGAGGCCAGAUUGUCUUGGAAGUUCCAAAGUUGCAACGAUUUCUGGCUAGUGCCACGAGGUUUACUUGACUGUUGUGUGAAAAGCUGAUAAGAAAACCAUCCAGAAAACAGCUCUUCGUUUUACAAACAUG
rnacentral:lncRNA from 1 species